GACGAACGCUGGCGGCGUGCUUAACACAUGCAAGUCGAACGGAAAGGCCCUGCUUGCCGGGUACUCGAGUGGCGAACGGGUGAGUAACACGUGGGUGAUCUGCCCUGCACUUCGGGAUAAGCCUGGGAAACUGGGUCUAAUACCGGAUAGAAGCCAUUUUUAGUGUGAUGGUUGGAAAGUUUUUUCGGUGUAGGAUGAGCUCGCGGCCUAUCAGCUUGUUGGUGGGGUAAUGGCCUACCAAGGCGGCGACGGGUAGCCGGCCUGAGAGGGUGGACGGCCACAUUGGGACUGAGAGACGGCCCAGACGCCUACGGGAGGCAGCAGUGGGGAAUAUUGCACAAUGGGGGCAAGCCUGAUGCAGCGACGCCGCGGGGGGGAUGACGGCCUUCGGGUUGUAAACUCCUUUCGCUAGGGACGAAGCUUUUUGUGACGGUACCUAGAGAAGAAGCACCGGCUAACUACGUG
rnacentral:rRNA from 1 species